GCUUGUUUUAAUGGUCUGUCUCUUCCACUUGAUUGCAUCCUCCUUGAGGGCUGUGACUGUAUUUUGUUUGCGGUUGUAUGCCCAGUGCCAUAAUUGAAUCAAAUGUUAAGUUUCAAUGGAAACCGCAGUGGUAUAGAAACAGACAUAUUGAGCUAUUUUCUGAUUUUUCUUAGCUGUCUAAAACUUGUAGAUAGCCAAUCUUUACCUUUCAUAAUACUGAGUUCCAUUGCAUUAUGCCAGAGCUCUCUGUUACUUGAAGCUGUGCCAGUUUGAAGAGGCAAAGCAGGACUGUGAUCAGGCACUUCAGCUGGCUGAUGGGAACGUGAAAGCCUUCUAUAGACGAGCUCUGGCUCAUAAAGGACUCAAGAAUUAUCAGAAAAGCUUAAUUGAUCUCAAUAAAGUUAUCCUACUAGACCCAAGUAUUAUUGAGGCAAAGAUGGAACUGGAAGAGGUAACUAGACUCCUUAAUCUUAAGGAUAAGACAGCACCAUUCAACAAAGAAAAGGAGAGAAGGAAAAUUGAGAUUCAAGAGGUGAAUGAAGGCAAGGAGGAGCCUGGAAGACCUGCAGGGGAGGUCUCCACGGGAUGCCUUGCUUCUGAGAAGGGAGGCAAAAGCAGCAGGUCACCAGAAGACCCUGAGAAACU
rnacentral:sRNA from 1 species